rnacentral:rRNA from 1 species
GAUGAACGCUGACAGAAUGCUUAACACAUGCAAGUCGAUGGGGAAGUGGUGCUUGCACCAUGGUAACCAUGGCGGACGGGUGAGUAACGCGUAAGGAACUUGCCUGCGGGACUGGGAUAACAGCAGGAAACUGCUGAUAAUACCGGAUAAGGUCAUUAAGCUGCAUAGCUUAGUGAUGAAAGGAGACGCCUGCGGAGAGCCUUGCGUCCUAUUAGCUAGUUGGAGGGGUAACGGCCCACCAAGGCGAAGAUAGGUAGCCGGCCUGAGAGGGUGGACGGCCAAAAGGGGACUGAGAUACGGCCCUUACUCCUACGGGAGACAGCAGUGGGGAAUAUUGGACAAGGGGGGCAACCCUGAUCCAGCAAUUCUGUGUGCACGAAGACGGUUUUCGGAUUGUAAAGUGCUUUCAGCAGGGAAGAAGGAAGUGACGGUACCUGCAGAAGAAGCGACGGCUAAAUACG